CACCUGGAGAAGCACCAGUUCUUGGCGUUCUCUGUGGGUGGGUGGCAAGGAGAGAGGCCCAGCGGAGCAGUGAGACUGGAGCAGAGGGUGGCCAUUCGUGAGCCCCGUCCUGAAGUGCACCGAGGGCGCAGGGUUCCUGCUUUCGCGCAGCCCCAGCCCUGCAGCGCUCCCGGAGCUGGGCCACCCUGGGCUGGGCGUCGGGGCUUUCCUGAGCCUGAGAUGCGCAGAGCACGGCCUGCACCCUGAACGUGGACGGGACCUAUGACCUGGGGAGGCAGGAAGUGUCCUGGGAAGAAGGAUCGAGAAUCUUAUACAAGCUAUCAACCCUCUUCACAGGAAGAAUAUAUCCAUAUGAGUCCUCUCCAGUUAUGCCCACAGCUGCAGGGGUUCCACAGGCGCACGGAGGAACCUGGGGUGAGAACCCCUGGAUUCGAGGCGGAAGAGACGUAUGAACGUAAAAGCCACCAUCUAACGGGCACCCACUCUGCAUCCGGCGCUGUGAGGGACGUUUGUUUAAACUGAUAUUCACAAAAAGAGUUGGGAUUCAUUCUCCCACUUUUCCACCUGCGCUGUGCUCCAGGAGGCAACUUGCAGGGCCUGAACCAAUGGGCUCCAUUGCACUUUUGCUUUAGAUUGGUUGUGGCCAGUCAGAGGCAGCGAUGUGAGAUAGGGUAGGGAGGAAAAUUAAAUUGGGGCAUAUGUUCCCCAGACUACCUCACUACCAUGUCACAUAGAUUAAAUGUGUCCUUCUACCAAAGGCCACAGCUUGUGUCAUGUAGCCCUCUCCAUGCAGCCACUCUUUCCGUCUUUUAGUAAUUGCUUCCUUCUCUUUGCCCUUCAGGUCCUUCCGCCCAUUACUAGCCCUGGGAGACUACAUUAUCCCUUGUCAGUUUCUUUAACCUCUACCCCACCUUCAUAAACAGUUACUGUAUUAAACUCUUUUCAAAUCACCCCAUCUGUGGGUGCCAUCUGCUUUCUGCUGAGUCUCUAGAAUAAUUAAAGUUUACUGCACAUUUUUAUGUAGGUUGCCUUUAUCAGAUAAGGAAGUUUCCCUCUAUUUCUAUUUAGCUGAGUUUUUUAAAAAAGUGUGAAUCAAUGUUGAGUUUUAUCACGUGCUUUUUAUGAAUCUGUUGAGAUGAUAAUAUGAUUUUUAUCCUUUAUUUCAUUAAUGUGGUAUAUGGCACAAUGUUACACCAUCCUUGUAUUCUUGGAAUAAACUCAAUGUGGUUUAUUAAUACACUCAAUGGUGUACUAUCAUUUUUAUAGACUUGAA